rnacentral:rRNA from 1 species
AGCGAACGCUGGCGGCAGGCCUAACACAUGCAAGUCGAACGAAGCCUUCGGGCUUAGUGGCGGACGGGUGAGUAACACGUGGGAACGUACCUUUUGGUUCGGAACAACUCAGGGAAACUUGAGCUAAUACCGGAUGAGCCCUUAGGGGGAAAGAUUUAUCGCCGAAAGAGCGGCCCGCGUUAGAUUAGCUAGUUGGUGAGGUAAAGGCUCACCAAGGCAACGAUCUAUAGCUGGUCUGAGAGGAUGAUCAGCCACACUGGGACUGAGACACGGCCCAGACUCCUACGGGAGGCAGCAGUGGGGAAUCUUGCGCAAUGGGCGAAAGCCUGACGCAGCCAUGCCGCGUGAAUGAUGAAGGUCUUAGGAUUGUAAAAUUCUUUUACCAGGGACGAUAAUGACGGUACCUGGAGAAAAAGCACCGGCUAACUACGUGCCAGCCGCCGCGGUAAGAC